rnacentral:misc_RNA from 1 species
GGAAACUUUGACUGCUAGCUGCUAUCAUGUGUCCAUCCAAUCGAGCCUGAAUCUUAGCCAUCCUGUGCCCCCUCGGACACAACCAGAGACGAGGCAGGCUGUAUAUACAGAAGAGCGGAGGCGCGGGCAACAUCCCCCGCCUUCAAAUGCAAAGUCUCCCUCCCCCACACAACAGGCUCACAGACAUUCCAUGCGCGCACAGCUGCACGCUGCUCGCGUCCGCCGUCUCCUCGUCGUCCUUAGCGAUGGCGGCGUCGUCCCCAGCGCGGCUCUAUUACCUUCUCCUGCUGGUUCUCUUCCUCGCCACGCCCUCCGUACGCGCUUCCUCGGAGCUCCGGCGCCGCGUGGAGGCGCCGGCGGCGUUGCCACCCGGCGUGGCCGAAGGGCGCGCGCGGCAGGAGUUCCACGUGCCGCCAACAAAGGGCCCGAUCAGGGAACAACGGAGGAGCAGGCCGCGCGGCGGUGGCACCGGCGCGUGGACCUUCUCAGCGAUGCUGCCCCGGGGGUUCGUGCCGCCGUCGGGCUCGUCCGACUGCCACAACGACAUGCCGGCCAACGCCGCCGACCCCCAAUUCUUCGCCUGUAGCGGUGCCGGGACGCCGUGACGACAAAGACCGGACGCCGUGGCGCCACCUUGCGUGCUUGGACCAAGAGGGGUGCAAAUCCAAGAGUAACCGUGUCCGUUCUCUGAAGCGCGGGAAUCGCGCGUCUCUCUGGUAACCUUCCCCUGAGGGCUCUUUGCAAGUGUAAAUGCCGGUGAGGCCUACCAUGUUCUUGUCUAGUUCUACCUCAAACAUUCAUCCAUGGAGCCUUAUCCCAACAUUUGCCCGUGUCACGAACGAUUCGGUGACUUGGAAGUCGGAACUCGUUUGACAGG